CAGUCGCCACGGGAAUACGUAGGUGGCAAGCGUUGUCCGGAAUUAUUGGGCGUAAAGGGCUCGCAGGCGGUUUCUUAAGUCUGAUGUGAAAGCCCCCGGCUCAACCGGGGAGGGUCAUUGGAAACUGGGAAACUUGAGUGCAGAAGAGGAGAGUGGAAUUCCACGUGUAGCGGUGAAAUGCGUAGAGAUGUGGAGGAACACCAGUGGCGAAGGCGACUCUCUGGUCUGUAAUUGACGCUGAGGAGCGAAAGCGUGGGGAGCGAACAGGAUUAGAUACCCCCGUAGUCCCUGUCUCUUAUAA
rnacentral:rRNA from 1 species